rnacentral:rRNA from 1 species
AGAAUCAACGCUGGCGGCGUGCCUAACACAUGCAAGUCGAACGAGAAAGUGGAGCAAUCCAUGAGUAAAGUGGCGCACGGGUGAGUAACACGUGACUAACCUACCCUUGAGUGGGGGAUAACCUAGGGAAACCUGGGCUAAUACCGCAUAAUACCUUCGGGCCAAAGGAGCAAUUCGCUUAAGGAGGGGGUCGCGGCCGAUUAGUUAGUUGGCGGGGUAAUGGCCCACCAAGACUAUGAUCGGUAUCCGGCCUGAGAGGGCGCACGGACACACUGGAACUGAAACACGGUCCAGACUCCUACGGGAGGCAGCAGUGGGGAAUUUUGCGCAAUGGGGGAAACCCUGACGCAGCAACGCCGCGUGGAGGAUGAAGUCCCUUGGGACGUAAACCCCUUUCGAUCGGGACGAUUAUGACGGUACCGAGAGAAGAAGCCCCGGCUAACUUCGCGCCAGCAGCCGC